UCCAUAAAUAAAGAAUAAGAUUAUAUUAAAAUUUUUAACUUCACAUUCAAGAGCUAAGUUAUUUUACCUCGCCUCUUGACAUAUUUUUUAUGAUAUAGCUUCGUAUAUACCUUCAUCUGAUGAGGGAUUGGAAUUAUAAUUAUUGUUUUUUUUUUUUCCAAUAUUUAUGUCGGUAACUAUUCUUAUCCCGUACCCAAGUAUUACUCACUCAAAGCCUUCGUGGUUAUACUCAAUAUAAAAUCUUAUUUCUAUUUUUCAUAAUUUUAUUCGUACAAAUCGUACAAUUUAAAACUCAGUUAAUAUUUCGAUCUUGAAGAGAACAGUUCCUGCAUAUAAAAAAUCGGUUUCAAAGCUUUUUAUAUAAUACAACUCGGGUAAAAAUUUAUCUUCUAGAGAUUUACAGUUGUAAAUUCCAAAAACUCCAUUCGUUUUCUCGCAAUGUAACAUUCUUGCGUGCUUAUAGAAUGAUAUGCUAUACGUCCAUAGAGACAACAAUAGCUUCAAUAAGAGGCAGUACUGCCUGUUUCCGUUGAAAGAUAACGAUGCGGCCAACUAUAAACUCGCUGUCAAGUUAAUUCCUCAACCCGAAACAAUAUACAGAUCAAAGCUUUCGCCAACCCAAGCGUCGAGGUCUCUUUCUGUGUUUUGCAUGGUCCAGACUAUUGCGGUAUUUCUAUACGUCAAGAAAUAUAAGACGAUGUACAACCGAUGUUUCAUUUGUUACUUCAGCUCCUCAGCCAUAAACAUUUUCUGGGCGUUUGUUGAAUCGAUUAUAAACGCCUCCUAUGACUUCACUCAUAAAUCUUGCCUUGCAUUUGCUACGUGCACUAUUUUUUCGUUAUGGCCACCUUCCUUUGGCUCAUUAUGAUCAACUUGACACUAUGGAAGAGCUAUAAACAUCCCGAAGUUACAAAGAGACCCAGUUUCAUGAAAUAUAGUAUCAUCGUUUGGAGCAUUGAUGCUAUAUUACUUACUGUUUUCAUCGGGGCUGAUCGAUACUUAUCUGAAGAUCUUCCUAGACAUGUAAAACCUGAAGUGAUCAAAUAUGUUUGUUUGGUGAAAACUACUGAUAUGAUCUAUUUCAAUUCUCUAACAUUGGUUGCCAUUCUAAUAAAUAUAGGACUUUUCGUUGCAACUGCAAGAGUAAUAUAUUUGGAAAAUAAGUAUAAUCAACGCAAUGGGAACAUUUCCAAUAGUAGGAAAACUGUGGAAAAUCAUGCUAAAUUCGAGCUGCUUAUCCGAUUAUUCGCUGCAACAGCAGGGGUGUGGUUCAUAGAUAAUAUAGCUUCUCUAUUUACCACGGAGUUUGGUAAUGCUUCGACUUAUUUAGACCUCGUACCGAGCUCUCAAGGCGUCUUUAUAUUGGUUAUAACAGUCGUAAGGAAAAAGAUGAUUAAAGCUAUCCUAUAAUCGAAUGGAGUUCACAAGAAUGAAACCUACUCAACUUGCCUACAUCUCUACAACAAAUGCGGGUUCUUAAAACUAUUUAUUUAACUAUUAAGCAG